GCCAGAGAAACUGCGUCUAGUUACGUCAACGACCGAUACUACUCUGAUAACACGUUUUAGCUCUGCGGUUAUGUCUUUUAAUUUAGGUUAAAUGUAGAUUGCUGUUUUUUUUAAUUAAAUCUAAGAAUAAGUAUCAAAUUGUUAUUUCGGUUUCUUACAUUUCGUGGAUUAGUAWUUCAAAAGGCAUGAUGUUGGCUUUUUGUGGUUCACUGACAUUCCUGAUGGUUUUGGUCACAGCGGUUUCCACACUGGUUCCACCUCCAGAAAAUGUGACAGUGAGCUGCAACAACUUUCAGACAACUGUUUAUUGGAACUACAGUGAACUGCUUCGUCAACCUCUCUUCAAAUUGAAAAUAAGUAGUGAUCUCAAUCUUAGUUUUCCGCUGGAUUCCACUAAACAGCACCAUUAUGACCUCUCCCCCUUCAUAUGGAAUGCUAAAGAACUGGAUCGCUACUAUGUGACUAUAACGGCCAGUGAUGAAACGGAGGAAUCGGCAUCUCUGAACUCCUCCAUAUUCACAUUUARUARAYACCUU